GCAAUUUAAACACUGAUAUCAUUAAUCAUUCGAGUGAAAUCAUCAAUCAUGAACUUGAUCUAUUCUACCUCAGCUCGACUCUGCUUGGACACUUUCAAACGAUGUGUAACAAGAAGAAGUCAAGUUGUAUCGGUGCACAUACAGCAUGCUGUAUUGUUGGGCAUCCAAUUUUAUCUCGUAGAUUCACUGCUCAGUGUUGAGUUAACUCUCUUCUUUAACACACAACAGACUUCACUCUCUGUGUAUUGUAGUUUUGCAUGGUAUUUCUCUUUCGUGUGCGAAGAGUGGAACCAACACACGAGAAGCCAUUGUAUGUUGUGUGCUAGACAGACAGCUGAGCACAUUUGAUGGUGUGUACGAGCGCGCAUGAGAGUGGAAUACACACAAUA